rnacentral:rRNA from 1 species
AUUGAACGCUGGCGGCAGGCCUAACACAUGCAAGUCGAGCGAGCGGCGGACGGGUGAGUAAUGUAUGGGGACUGCCCGAUAGAGGGGGAUAACUACUGGAAACGGUGGCUAAUACCGCAUACUAUCGGAUAACCCAUAUGGGAUUAGCUAGUAGGUGGGGUAAAGGCUCACCUAGGCGACGAUCCCUAGCUGGUCUGAGAGGAUGAUCAGCCACACUGGGACUGAGACACGGCCCAGACUCCUACGGAGGCAGCAGUAGGGAAUCUUCGGCAAUGGACGAAAGUCUGACCGAGCAACGCCGCGUGUAUGAAGAAGGCCUUCGGGUUGUAAAGUACUUUCAGUCGGGAGGCGUUACCGACAGAAGAAGCACCGGCUAACUCCGUGCCAGCAGCCGCGGUAAUUC